UACGAAGGGGGCUAGCGUUGCUCGGAAUGACUGGGCGUAAAGGGCGCGUAGGCGGAUGGCACAGUCAGAUGUGAAAUUCCCGGGCUUAACCUGGGGGCUGCAUUUGAUACGUGUGAUCUAGAGUGAGGAAGAGGGUCGUGGAAUUCCCAGUGUAGAGGUGAAAUUCGUAGAUAUUGGGAAGAACACCGGUGGCGAAGGCGGCGACCUGGUCCUUGACUGACGCUGAGGCGACGAAAGCGUGGGGAGCAAACAGG
rnacentral:rRNA from 1 species